GUGGGGAAUAUUGGACAAUGGGCGAAAGCCUGAUCCAGCCAUGCCGCGUGUGUGAAGAAGGUCUUCGGAUUGUAAAGCACUUUAAGUUGGGAGGAAGGGCAGUAAGUUAAUACCUUGCUGUUUUGACGUUACCGGCAGAAUAAGCACCGGCUAACUUCGUGCCAGCAGCCGCGGUAAUACGAAGGGUGCAAGCGUUAAUCGGAAUUACUGGGCGUAAAGCGCGCGUAGGUGGUUCGUUAAGUUGGAUGUGAAAGCCCCGGGCUCAACCUGGGAACUGCAUCCAAAACUGGCGAGCUAGAGUACGGUAGAGGGUGGUGGAAUUUCCUGUGUAGCGGUGAAAUGCGUAGAUAUAGGAAGGAACACCAGUGGCGAAGGCGACCACCUGGACUGAUACUGACACUGAGGUGCGAAAGCGUGGGGAGCAAACAGGAUUAGAAACCCCGGUAGUCC
rnacentral:rRNA from 1 species